UUGUUGGUAAGGUAAAAGCUUACCAAGGCUUCGAUCAGUAGCUGGUCUGAGAGGACGACCAGCCACACUGGGACUGAGACACGGCCCAGACUCCUACGGGAGGCAGCAGUGGGGAAUUUUGGACAAUGGGGGCAACCCUGAUCCAGCCAUGCCGCGUGAGUGAAGAAGGCCUUCGGGUUGUAAAGCUCUUUCAGCCGGAACGAAACGGUUACGGAUAACACCCGUGACUACUGACGGUACCGGAAGAAGAAGCACCGGCUAACUACGUGCCAGCAGCCACGGUAAUACGUAGGGUGCGAGCGUUAAUCGGAAUUACUGGGCGUAAAGCGUGCGCAGGUGGUUUUGUAAGUCAGAUGUGAAAGCCCCGGGCUCAACCUGGGAACUGCGUUUGAAACUACAAGACUAGAGUGUGGCAGAGGGGGGUGGAAUUCCGCGUGUAGCAGUGAAAUGCGUAGAGAUGUGGAGGAACACCGAUGGCGAAGGCAGCCCCCUGGGUCAACACUGACGCUCAGGCACGAAAGCAUGGGGAGCAAACAGGAUUAGAUACCCUGGUAGUCCAUGCCCUAAACGAUGUCAACUAGUUGUCGGGCCUUUACGGGCUUGGUAACGUAGCUAACGCGUGAAGUUGACCGCCUGGGGAGUACGAUCGCAAGAUUAAAACUCAAAUGAAUUGACGGGGACCCGCACAAGCGGUGGAUUAUGUGGAUUAAUUCGAUGCAACGCGAAAAACCUUACCUACCCUUGACAUGUAUCGAAGCCCGCAGAAAAGCGGGGGUGCCCGAAAGGGAACGAUAACACAGGUGCUGCAUGGCUGUCGUCAGCUCGUGUCGUGAGAUGUUGGGUUAAGUCCCGCAACGAGCGCAACCCUUGUCAUUAAUUGCCAUCAUUUAGUUGGGCACUUUAAUGAGACUGCCGG
rnacentral:rRNA from 1 species